ensembl:antisense Gm16033 predicted gene 16033
UCAUACAAGAGGAUACUGGGUGCAUGACUUUGGGGUGCUAGGCUCGGAUUCUACAGAACCUCUCCCUAGCAGGCUUCCCUGGGACGGGGGAUGUAGCAGUAGCUUCCUCAGCAGCCUGGGAUCCCAGAAGGAGGCCAAUCAGUGACACUCGCGUGUGUUCCUGCCAGCAUAGGACCAGGAUGGGUACCUUCUCCAAGCUCCGCAGAGGAGGACCCCAGCUCAAGCCUUCCCUGAGCAUCGCUGGUAGCUCUUGGCUAGUGGGCUGAGGGAGAACCUUUCCCACCCUCCUCGCCGUGCUUCCCUUCCCUCCCUGGGCUGUAUAUUGCACAGGACAAACACUUAGGAGCCAUUGGAUAUGAGUCCCCCUGGGCCUCGGAGGAAGCAGGAGGCACUCGGGUAAGAAGGGAGAUUCUGGGGAUGAGGGACGUUCCAGAAGGCUGCCAAAGCUUCAGGAUGGGUGAGAAGGCGUCUUUCUUCUGGACCUUCCAUGGCAUCCGGAGUCUUCCAUCGGAACAAGAAACUUCUCGACACUUCUAGAUCUUGGAGCUAAUUAUUGCUCCAACCCUCUGUGAUCGGUACUCGGGUAGCUGGAAAGG